rnacentral:lncRNA from 1 species
AUGCAGGAUGCAAGAUGGGGCUGUCACCAAGACCUCUCCACCUGGCCUGGACUUUCCCUAUUGUGUCCCAACUGGGCUCUGAGAGCAAGCAUCCCUACAGGACAGGUAAAAGCUAUAUUGGCUUUAAAAAAUUUUUUUUCGGUUAAUUAUAGACUAAGUAAGAAGUUGAAAUACAGUUUUAGAGUCCCAUGAGCCUUUUAUUCAGCUUCCCCUAAUACUGUGGUCUUCUAUAACUGGAGACCAAGGUCAUAGCCAGGAAAUUGACAUUUGCUCAAUGCUUUGGAUUAGGCUAUGAAUUUAUGUUCUGUUUUGCCCGUUUUUAUAUGCACUCCUUUGUGUGUUCUUGUGUGUGCAUGUCUGUGUUCUGUGCAAUUUGAUUCCAUGUUAAGACACAUAUAAUAGUCACAUUCAACAUAAAAACCAGUUCCACAAAAGGACUCCUUCAUGCUCUCCCUCUAGAGUUUCUCCCAACUCUCCCCAGCCCCGUACUUCUCCCCUGGCAGCCACUCAAUGGUUUUCCAGUUUUAUCAUUUUAAGAAAGUGACAUAAAUGAAAUCAUGUAGUUGUAAACUCUUAAGGUUGGAUUUUUCACUACAGCUCAAGCCCUUCAAAUCCAUCCAACUGUGUGUGCAUCAAUAGCUGGUCCUUUUUAUUGCUGAGUAAUAGUCCAUGUGUGCCUUUUA